GUUUUUAUAGUUUAUAUUAAAAAUAUUGGUCUUGUAAACCAAAGUUAAAAAAAUUUUUUUUAAAAACA
rnacentral:tRNA from 1 species